rnacentral:lncRNA from 1 species
UAGUUGCUGUACAAUAUUACAUGUAACAGGUGUAAAAUAUAGUGAAUUGCAACUUUUUAAAAGGUUAUACUCCAUUUAUAGUUAUUAUAACAUAUUGGCUAUAUUUCCCAUUGUAUAUUUUAGCCUUGUAGCUUAUUUUACAGUUUUGUAAGUUGCACUGGUCAGGGUCCUUAUUUGCAAACAGCAGAAAUAAACUCUAGCUGAUCCGAGCAGAAAAGGCAUUGAAAAAAAAUAUUGUGUGGCUAUUGAAAUUAGCUGACAAGAUUGUGUGGGGUGAACUUUUGAGGUAGUUUCUUUCCUUUGUCUGUGAGCCUAAAGUAAUUGACAAGGGUCAUGAUACAUAUUUUAAUGAAACUCAUUCUAAUUAAUUAUCUUUAGAAAGAGUUACCAUGUAUUCCUAUUUAUGACUGUCAUCUCUAAACAAAAUGCCUCAAUGUAUUAUAUCAAUUUUAUUAUAUAAGAAAUAACGAGUAGUAUUCAGGAUGAUUGUUAUCUAGUUUGAGAUGAUAGGUUGCUAGCAAAGAGUUUUAUAAAAUUACAUGUAGAUUAUCAAAGUCAUAGUUUUUGCUUGAGGUGUUGGAUUUCCUGGUGGUUAUUAUGUUAUCAAAAUAUGCAUAAAUGGAUAAAAGAACAAAAGUAGGACAUGUGUAGACCAAUUAUAGGCAGGUGUGAAUCAAAGAUAAUGUGAGUAAUUCAAUUUUAUUAUUUGCAGUUUAAGAAAAAAAAAGUUAAACUAACGAAAAACUAAUAUUCUAGACAAUACAAGAAACAGAGAUAAUGCGUAAUUUCUUACCUAAUUUAGUUUAAAUUUACUUUCUUUUGACAGUGAUGAGAUAAUUGAGAUUUUUUGAGAAAAUCAGACCUUCAUAGUUUAGCUAAUUACACACAGUUGAUCUUGUCAGCUAUUUUUUGGAUUAAGAAAUAUGCCUGUUGUAACUACAUCUAACAAUAGCUUAGUUUAGCAGUGUUUCAAUGUUUAUGCCAACAUAGAGUUUUCUAAGGGUGAACACUGCCUGGGUCUUGACAAGACCAUUGCCCCACCAGACAUCUCUGAGCAGCAUGUAACUCUCCAGCUUUCCUGGCUAGAUUUCACUCCAAAGUGUGUGACUGGCACACUAAGCUUCCCCCUCCACUUGUCUGACUAAGUCCUUUGUAUCUUAGAUGUCACCUGGGAAACCUUCCUCAGAGCUCCCUACUACCUACUUCUGCCUGGGCUAAAUUUACCUCUGUGCUCCAACGUCUAUAUUGUCGAAUCUAGAAGAUUAAAUGUUUGUGAGAGUUCUUCCCCCUUAGACAAUGAGCUCCAGAUGAGCAAAAAUCUAUCCUUCAGUCAUUUUUGUAUCUCCUUAUUACUGACACUAAAUCAGAUAUUGAGGUUUUCUUCAUUUAUAUGUGCAGUUCUUUGUGUGCAAUUUAUGAGUCAAGUCAAAAAAUCUCGCUUCAUAUACUUUUGUGCAACCACAUUUUCACCAAUUUAAAAAUAGUCAGUUAUGUUAAUUGGAUAAAUGUUAAGUAAGUGCUGCAAAUUAUUUGCUUCACCAUCUGCCUGCCAGACCCACCUUAGUCAGAGACACACAUGCUAUAGCUAUGGCUACUGUUUUAUCUGACAGCAAAGCUACCCAUCUUACUGGAAAGGAUCUCAUUUUCCAAUCAGACGUAAUGAACACUUAAGGAAGUGCUGCACUUGAAAGAAAACAUUGCUUCACGGAGUUUAUGUCAACCCAUUGACCAUAUGUAAAUAUUCACAUACACACUUCCUGCCUCUGCUGUCAGUGAGUGGGCCUUUGCUUUCCGUUUCCAGAACUGCACUUUAGAAUUGCUUCAAGAUAUUAGUUUGCAACAAAAUACAGAUUAUUGCUAUUUUAGCUAAUGAUCAUUCGGUUUAAAAAAACAAUCAAAACUCCCAGAGGCAGUAGCUAUGCCAUGAGAAGUAAUUGGUGUUGGAAUUCAUUUCUCUUCUGUGUUGGCAGAAUAUGACUGAUGCAGUGUAAGAAAUCUAUCAAGUUUAGAACACUCCUGAAAAAAGUUCUUGAGUCUAUUUUCCCUAUUCUCUUAGUAUAUAAUUUGUUUUCUGCUAAUAAAUAUGCCUUGGAGAUGAUACAGUGUGGCUAGUGGGAAGGGAGUGAGAUUUAAAUUGAGACAGAAGAGGCUUUAUAUCCUGGCUUUAGCUUCUCAUUUGAUCAAGUUACUUAGCCUUUAUGGAGCUCAGUUUCCCUAUCUGUAAAAUGGAGAUAAGGGUUCACAGAAGAUUACCGUGAGUGCUACUGAAUAACGCAGUUGAUACACUGGGUAUAGAAUUCAUGCUCAAUGAUUAGUUGCCUAAUCAUUACAAGACACAGUGGGAAGAGAAGAACAAUUACAUAAAUCUUUUGCAUUAAAUUUUUUUUUUCUUCAUUGGAUGGGCUUUGGUUUUAGGGCUGUGUGUACAACUUAUUUCACAAUGAGUAUUUGUGAGGAUUGAUGAUGCUCUUGGUAGACCAUUAUUCUCAAAAAAAGAAAAUAGCUUUCAUGUGCAAUGGGUACUUUCUGUUUUCCUCUGAGUAACAGCUGGGAUUUGAAACUGUUCUGAUUGUAAGCAGUCUGCUCAUUUUGUAUGAAAGUUUACAUAACCAGUAAAAACAAGGUGAUUUGAGAGUAAAGACAUUCCCCCCUUGAUGCCUUGAAUGUAUAGGUUUGUUAAGUGAAGGAAAACCUGUUCCUUUUUAUUCAAAAUUAGGCCCAUCAAACAUUGUAACGCAAUAAACAAUUCUAGACUUAAUCUACAUUUUUGGCACUGCUUUUAGAUAUACAUCUUUAUUUCUGAGGCUGGUGGUGAAACUUCUGAUCUGUGCUCACUGUGCAUGUGAUAGAGGCGGUUCUGGGAAGCAGACUGGAUGCUGGUGUGUGCCCUACACUGGCUUUGUAGAUGUUUUUGUUUUUUUCUGUAAAUCUGUAGCUCUUUCCCCAAGGCUAGAAUUUCUGACCCCAAAUAAUCCUUUAGGUUUUGUUUAGCUCUGAGCUAAUCAUUUCAAAUACGUAGGGUUUUUUUUUUUUUUAAACUUUCUUCCUGAUUCUGAAUGAGGAUUUAGUUAAAUGCCUGUUUAAGAAUUGAUGAGUAAUUUAAAGGAUUUAGGAGAACAUUCCGUGCUAUUAUAUGCAAAUACAUGCCAUGCAUGGCUCCCUAUGUCAUUAACCUGGCAGUCAUUUCAUGCAUGACUCCCCAUCUUAUUAAGCUAGCAGUAUGGAAUAUUUGAUUUACUAAACUGGUAUGAACUACUUAGUGUGCUAAUAUAGGAAUAUAACUUUUAAAUUUCUUUGGAAUAACUGUCUUUGAAACAGAUUCUUGAAGACGAUAACAUUAUUUUGACAGCUGUGCUCAGUUUCUAAAAGUCUAUUUUAGCAAGCUUCUUAUAACUGUUGCAAAUGUACCUGUGUGAUUUGAACAAACCAUACAAUAAUUGAAAAUGAAAACCGUCAUAGCAAUAAGAACCCUUAGAAUUCUGUAGCAAGUGAUUCAACAACAUAGGUAAAUAAAUUUGGUAGAAGUGUUUGCUUCUAGAGAGGAUGUUAAACAGUGUAUGGUUGCCGGAGAGUCUGCCACUAGGCUUCCAGUUACCAUGAUGCUCUAAAAACUCUUUUUAUAGCCAAGCCCCCCCCCCCCCCCCCCCCCCCGGCUUUACAGGCUUUCGUUGCCAUAGCAGCAUUCGUUGGCCAUGGGAUUUACAGGAAAAAAAUAAAGAAAGAAAGAAGGGGGAGCGGGGAGGCAUAUUUGUAAAGUUGGUGCAGUGCCAAGUGUAGCAGGAAUCAUGGAUGCUGGAUUCUUCCUUUAGAGUCCAUUUCAGCUGGCGCCUAAUGUCACCCACAUAAUCACAAAAUACUCUGUCAUCGUUCAGACCAGCUGCAUGAAAUGAAACAAGGAGAAAUUUAGCAUCAAUGAAAGGAAUGAUAAUUUAAAAGGUUUUAAAUGAUGUUUUCUAUGUUCCUCAAUCAACAAUAUUUUAAAGCCUUUAAUUUUUUUCCCUUACAAUAGUAUUUCCUUGUUGUUACUGGCUUGACUGAUGACAUUUUAGCACUAACUUGGCCAAAAAAAUGUCAGAAACUAGAAAGGAGGUCAAAUAGAUAAAUCCAAAUAAGAAUGGGAAGGAAAUAUUUAUAGUACUCUUCAUUUCUUCUAGAUUUUACUGCAUUUAAAUUAUAUAGGUAAAUUUGCCUUCACUCUUUGCCUAAGGUAUCAUUUUUGAACCUCAAAUGGUCGGUGUUUAUCAGAUAUGCCUUUCAAUAAAAGCUUCCAGAUUUGUGAUAUGUUCAUUGUUUCUUCAGUCGUGACACGUAUUUCAGAGUUCACAGGCAACAGGGAAAAAAUGUUCAUGAAGGAAGAAAACCAAGUGAAUAAUCUGGGGAAGUUGGUGAACUGUGACAUGUGUGGGGCUCAUGGCUCCAUGAAUAUGUAAGGGGACCAGCUAGACUGGGGUGGGGGUGGGGAGGAUGUUGGGUGGGGAAUUUGUCCAAGAGAGAGGGAAUAGGCAAUGUGUUUGCUUGCAGCAGUUCUAGGAUUCUGGCAAGUGCACUAGAAUUUACAAACAGAUGAAAUAAUCUCUUACAACUGAACUCAAUUAUCAAUAGAUGAUUAGAAAUAGAGAAAUCAGCUUUAAGAUGACCAUUGAUGUUUGUCUGAGUCUUUUCUUUAUGAACUCUUCAUCCUGAAUUGUAACUUAUGGUUGCAUAUGGGUAGAUAAUCCUGGUAGAAGAGUGAUCCCAUAGUAAAUAUCCACCCUUAUCUGGGAAACUGGGAAACCACAGAGCUGGCAUUACAUAUCAGUGGGGAAAAGAAAAGACUGUUUAGUGAUGAGUUCAGAGGUGAUUUGGUUAUCUAUUAAAAAAAAAAAGAAAAAGAUUCAUAUAUCACACCAUGAGAAAAAAAAAGAACUGACUAAACACUGAAAUUUGAGUUAAAAAAUCUCAUAUCUUUAAGAAUAAAAAAGGAGACUAUUUUUAUUACUUUAAAGGAGGUAAGAGUUUUUGUUUUUCUUUUUUAGGACUACACCUGAAACAUAUGAAAGUUCUCAGACUAGGGGUCAAAUCAAAUCCGAACUGCAGCUGCUGGCCUAGGCCACAGCCACAGCCACAGCCAUGCCAGAUCCUAGCCAUUGAGUCACAGGAACUCCUGGUACGGGUUUCUUAAACAGGCUAUGAAAUUAGAAAUUUUAAGGGAGAAAUAACAGGGUUUGACAAAACAACAACAGCAUAAACACAGUGACAAGUUAAGUCUAGAAGAAGAUUCAAGGCAAUAGUUGACAGAGGAUUAUUUUGCAGAAUAAAUAAAACACUCCUCUAAGUUAAUAAGAAAAAGAUCUUUUAAAAAGCCUAAAUAGACAAAAACAGCUAAAAACUAUGAAUGGGUCACUCACAGAGGGAGAAACCUGAACUUGGUAAGAAACAUUGUCAAGAGGAUCAGACUCUUUACUGGAGAAAUGUGAAGGAAAACAAAAAUGAUAAAGCAUUUUAUAGAUCUCAGAUCAGCAAAAAUUUAAAGUCUAAGAAGACCAAGUAUUGGUGUAGAUUUGAAGAAAAUACUGGCAGGAGUUCAAACUUGCAUCAGGACUUUGGAAAAAAAUUUGGUAAGAUUUGGUAAAGCUUAAAAUAUAGCUUCUGUAGGACUGAGCAAUCCUAUAUUUAGGUGUACACAGGUGCUUACAAAAUAUUACAGCAUUCACUAUCCUGGAAACAAAUAUAUCAUGACAUAUUCUUAUUAUGUGAUACCAUAUGCCUAUGAAAGUGAAUAAAUAUGUGGAAGUUUGAAUAUAUGAGGAAAAACUUGAGUGCAAAAUGUGAGUUUUAGUAUUAGAUAUAAAAUAUGACAUUUAUGAUAACAUAAAUAUGCUAUUAUGAGCUAUUUAUGGAUACAUGACUAUUAACAAAAACAAACAAACAAAGAACAGAGGUAGAAAGAAUACACCCAUGGAGUUCCUGUUGUGGUGCAGUGGAAAUGAAUGCAAUUAGGAUCUUUGAGGUUGAGGGUUCAAUCCCUGGCCUCGCUCAGUGGGUUAAGGAUCUGGCGUUGCCAUGAGCUGUGGUGUAGGUUGCAGAUGACGCUCAGACCUGGCAUUGCUGUUGCUGUGGCAUAGGCCAGUAACUGUCGCUCUGACUUGACCUCUAGCCUGGAAACCUCCGUGUUCCAUGGGUGCGGCCAUAAAAAAAAUAAAAAUAAAAAAGGAAAGAAAGAAAGAAUAUACUCCUAAUAAAGGAAAAUUAGGUAAGGAAUUAAGCAGGGGCCCAAAGAGUACAUGAAGUGCCAGCUGAUGGAAGAACACUUAGUCACCUCUGAAGUGGUUCUGCCCCCCGAAUCAGACCUGAAUAUGAUUAAGUCUUGAGACUCAACAGCAAAUUAAUAGGAAAUACAGAGGACAGAGGAAUAUUUCAAAAUUACCAGAGGGGUGUAAUCUGUGACAUUCAAACUAUGGAAAACUCUGUAAGUUACUAACAUUUUCUUCAUCAAAGAAAAUGGCAAGCCAAAAUUGUAAG